rnacentral:rRNA from 1 species
UACGUAGGGUGCAAGCGUUGUCCGGAAUUAUUGGGCGUAAAGAGCUCGUAGGCGGUUUGUUGCGUCGGCUGUGAAAUCCCGAGGCUCAACCUCGGGUCUGCAGUCGAUACGAGCAAACUAGAGUGUUGCAGGGGAGACUGGAAUUCCUGGUGUAGCGGUGAAAUGCGCAGAUAUCAGGAGGAACACCGGUGGCGAAGGCGGGUCUCUGGGCAACAACUGACGCUGAGGCACGAAGGUCAGGGGAGCAAACGGG